UACAUUUCUCUCUUGUUAUUAUCAUCACCAGCCAACCGUCUUUAUUCAUACAUAUAUUCGUAUGUGCACAGGCUAGUUUUCUUCACAGUUUAUUCGAGGCAACUAUUAACGUCAUACAUACAUGUUUAGAUAUAAACGUAUCAACAAUUUCGUACUUUUGAAAGCAUUUGCAUGCAAAAGCAGAAGCGAUUUAAUGGGCCCAUAAGAAGCUCAACACACACAAAAUUGCGUCAAAAUCGGUGAAGCGCUCUGUAGCUGUACGAAACCAAAGAUUUCAAAGCGUUAUGGAUGGGAUAGGAGUGGAAGGGUGAGGAAAGAUACAAUCACCAAGUACAAUACACAAUCGAGAUCCAGCAUAAAAAGUUGCGAAUAUAAAACAAAAGUGUCACUUGCCGAGGGUCUGGAGGUACCAGGCGAUGUCCGAGGUUGAGCUUGCAUUGUUA